ACGGUACACAUGCUUUUAAAUAAAAUCUCAUCUCUGAGUUAGAGUAAACUGUCAAGAACUAAAACUAACUCACUUUACCUUUCACCAUGGGACUUGUAACCGUCACUUCUGUCUUGAGUAGUUAAAAGAUAGAACAGUCUAGCCAAGUGCCAUGUCUCUUAUUCUUGAUCAGCUAUAGCUCUGGAGUUUUUGUAGAUUUUCAAAUAAAACUUAGAGAUUCCUUGUAUGAGACUCUAAAUCUCUCUUUUGUGGUAUUUUUGGAUUCUUACCAAGGCAGUGAUGGUAUAUGCCUUCUCUCAAGAUAUGUGGUAUUUGUGGUAUAAGGCAUAGUGACAUUGCCUUCUCUCUCACCCUACUCUAAUAAGUCUUUAAUAUCUGGAGCUCAUAGGUGGAAGAGAAAGUAUAGAUACUUACAAGACAUUUAUUGUAUAGUCAAACCAUGGAUCCAAAGAAACAAAUCAAUAAGCCAAAUCAAGAUGUGCAUAUGUGGUGAAUGAAUGGUGUAUGGUGAUGAUGGUGAUAACAAUGGUGAAAGUCUAAUUCUACUUUUGCUCUUUUGAGGGGAUACAUACCUUCCAUGCUUUUUGAAACUUUAUGAGGAGAAUGAGAUGCUCUUCUUUUUCUUUCCUCUCAGGUGGGUAUCUUGUACCCCUAAUUCUAAUGUCGGACACUUGUCCAUUUUUACCUCUCGUCUCACUUUUUCUUUCUUUCGAGGUUCCGGGCACUUGCCCCUUUUUAUUUCCUCGUUUAUUAUUUUUUUCUUCUUUUUUUUUAUUUUUUUUUUAGAGCACUCAUCUCUUGAGAUAAUAUAGCAAGUGGUAGUAGCAAGAUAACUUGAGCAUUUAUUUCACAAGGGAAAAUAAAAAUUUUUUUUGGCUAUUCUCUCCCGGAUUAGGAGUAGAAUAUUUUUGGGUGGUUCUGGAGAUGGACAUGGAUGGAUAUAUGUGGAUGGUACUUCCGGAGUAGAAGUAGCAUAUAUGAGUGAACGUGCAAGUGAAUCUUGAUUUAACCAUAUGACAAGCUCCUAAGGGUCUACACAGCUUGACCACACUCAAUGCUCACAAGCAGUAAAUAAUAAAUGUGUGGGUCAAAGUCUAGCAAGCAUGUAUAUAUGGCUGUGGUAGGAAUUUAAACUCUCAUCAUACAGGAACUCAUCAUGCAAUAUUUUAAAGAUUUUUCAAAGAUAAAAUUCUCCAGAAUUCUAGCAUCUCUAGGAACAGAUAAACAGCAGCUCAACCUUCCCAUAUCAUAUCCGUUAACAACUUAGAUUUCAGAUCAAGUUUUCAUCCCACAAGUUUAGAUCUAGAGCAAGCUUUAAAUUAUAACAGUUAUGUCUAAACUUGAGAGAGAACUUCAAAUUUGCAAAUUAGGCAGAGCAACUAUUCAUCAUAUCCAUGCUAGAGUUUUAUUAUUAAGAUUCAGAUUAGUAUAGCCACUUUAUUUAUCUAUUAAACACAUUAAGCAAAAGAUAUAUAUAUAAGCACAAAAUCUUUAUUUAGUUUUUCAUAGUUUAUGUAUUUUAAUAUUCUAAUAUAAUAUAAGUAUAAAGAUAGGUAGAAAUACUUAGCGAGAUAAAUGGGGGUGCUCUCCCCCAAGCUGAAUUUUGACGUAAUUUCUCUUGAUGUAGCUAGCAGGUGGCAGAGGUGUAUUUGAAAGUCAGCAGCAUUCUGACAGCGAUUAGAAUGUCCUCCGUCUGCUAGUCUUCUUGAUUCUUAAAUUCUGUGGAGCUCAAAUAGACAACAAAGCUUGUGGAACUAAUUAAGUGUUAGCAUAAAUAUCUAGCCUUCAUCAUGUUGAGCUUCCUCAAUAAAUAUUACUCCCUGUUUUUAUAUUUUUAUUUUAUAAAGCAAAAAAGAAAUAUUUAUUUUAUUUUUAUGCCACCACAGUGAAGGUACUUAUGGGUUUUAUGCCACUCGUAUACUCACAUGGGGCUUAGUAUUUUUUUAACAUUUUUAUUUUCUUUUCAAGAUAGCAUGAUUAACUAAUAAUCUAUUUAAGGAAAGUAAAUAAUUAAACUGAAAAGGGAAUGCAGAAAGGAUAAAUAUGGAUAACUACCGAUCUUACCUUUUGGCGAGGGUUCAAUGUUUUAAGUCUUCAUAACAAGACUUCUCACCAUAUUCAUUCUUCAGGUGCGUCAUUUGAUUCAGGUGCGGACCUUGAUGUCUACACCUCUUCGUUUGCCCAGCAGUUCGAAGUGCGGUGUUGGCAGUAUCCUGCUCAGUGUGUUUGUGCUCAUAGAUCCAGGUCCUUCACUUGGUAGAGUCUGAGAGUUAUAAAACUCCUCCGUGUUUUGCUAAAAGUGUACCUACUCAUAGAGACAAGGCAGAGAUCAAGUGCAUGGGUCCUGUUGGUGGAAAACACCAACAGAACCUAAAGUGUUUUUGUUCUUCUCUAACCCUAAGCAUAAUGAGCAAGACAAAGUUGAUGGAUGAAAAGUUCAUGAGUGUAGCACUUAUAACAUUUGUCAGAUCAGAUCGCUCAACCUUAUGGAAAGAUAAUCUAUCUAUGUAUAUGUCUUUUUCUUUAUAUCUCUCAAUGAUUGAAUGUGUAACAUUUUAGCUCAUAUGAUUAGGAGUGUGGGAUCAUGGAGGUAGUACUAAGAACAAGGAUUAAAGGACUAAACAUGUGUGAAUCAGUUGGGUUGGUUAAUCUAGAGUUUGUAAAUCAACAUGUUUGCCUCUUUUAUUUAUAUGAACGCCAGAACCAAGGAGAAGCUUAUAAAAGUGAUAGUCAUGUACCUUAAGGUGUUACCUUACUUGAAGAGUGAUGGUGUAGUAUCACCUCGUGGAAGCUUUCCUUUCUUAGUGGUUGUGCAUCGUGUUUGUGGCACCCUCCAUGGAUCAUCUCUCUAUGAUGAAUGAGCUAUAUCCUUCUUGUGCAAAUUGUUAAACUUCAUGUGUCACUCUCUUCGUCUCUGAUGUGAGUUUAUCUCAGGAUUUCCCAAAUCGAUAUUGAAAGUUUUUCUACAGGGGUUAGUCCGGCAAAAAUAUAUCAAUGUCUACACAAGCAGUUUUUAGUUCAAUAACCGAACUAGACUCCAUGUCUAAUCAGAUUAAGGAAGGCUGUUUAACCUAAGCACCAUGCUUAAUUUAAAAGCCAAUAGAAGUAUGUGCAGUACUUCCAAACUAACACUUACUAGUAAAUAGACAAAGGUAGCAUGACAGCAUUUAUAGAGAUCUACUCAAGUGGAGAUGAAGUAGUGUGAUUAGUAUUUAACAAAUUGAGCAUGUCUUAAAGAUAGGGACAACCAACAUAGCAACAUGGCAAAGGAUGUUUUUAUGUAAAGUACUCCCCCGAGCUUGAAUUUUGCAGAAUUCAAGUUUGGAUGAAUUUAAUUCAGUGUUGCAUGAUGAUUGGUUGGACAUACCUUGUACUUGCUUGUCAUUCAUCCGAUCUUCUUGCUCCAAUCAUGGAAAGGUUAGUGACAAGAAUACCCGAAGGAAUAUUUUUACAAUUAUCCUUAUAUGCUCAAUACACAAGGUAAUGUUGCAAAUAAUUAAAAACUCAUGUUACGAUCUGAUCAGUGCUUAUUUUAGGACACCAAGCUUGUCCUUGGGAAACCAUCAAUUUAUGUCAGCGAAGUGGUUUCCCUUCCAACGCUGACCUAUAUCAAGAUCAACUCAACGAGAUCUGCAAUAUUUAUUAUAGACAUAUGCAUCGACAACCGCCCUUUUAAAGUUUUUAUAAAUAGAAAGGAAGAGGGGGUUGGAGAUCUCAAAUGUGGUGAUGUUGGAGAGACCAAUAGAUUGGGAAGAUGUUGCAUAUGAGCACGGAGUAAACAAAGUGGCUAUGAAAUAAAUUCCAUGCUCAUUAAUGUUAUCUUCGUCUCCAAUCUGAAUGUUCAGAGUUUCUCUUGGAUUGGUCUCACUUAUGUCCUCUUCUAUAGUUGGAUGAAUCCCAUCUUCAAAGAGAGUCAAGAACUCACCAUUUGAAAUUGAACCAAAGUCAGAAUUCAUUAAGACUUCUUCCUUAUCCAUCCAUUCUACACAUUCUAGCCAUUUAGAACUUGUGAUCAUGAAAGGGGAGGUGUUAGAAUUUUCAAUAUGGCUUAGCUCUCCUUCUAUGGCAUUACUUGAUAUGUCAUCCUCGACUUCUUCAUAAUAGGAACCAGGACAUUCUCUAGGAGAACCAUUAUUGCGAGGAUUUGAAUUAUCCCUGCUUGAAGGUCUCUUAUGGAACCAGAAGUCUAAACCAUCAACAUCUGAAAGAUUUAAGGUCGGAAUUCCUUCCUCCCUUGGAGAAUUUUGGGGUAUUGAUGGUUUAGGAUCGAUAGCUAAAGUUUGGAAUUGAAGUGGUUGUGAUCUGGCUAUCGAAACUUCUUCUUCUUGUCUAGGAACUAGUUCUUUCUCUUUCUCAGGGAUAUAAAAGCUAGGAGACUUUCCGCUCAAUGAAUCAAUCAAAUUCCAAGCUUCACUAGCAGGUAGGUGAUAGAAGGAUCCUCUAGAGGCUGUAUUCAAGGUUUGCUUAUUUUCCCCACUAAGGCCCUCAAAAAAGUGAAUUAGAAGAACUUCUUCUGGAAUAGAAAGCUUUGGGCCAGUGAGAGUAAGGUUAAUAAAGAGGUCCCAUGAUUUCCUAAGAGAUUCUUCUUCCAGUUGUCUAAAAGAAAUAAUCUCACGCUGAAGUUCCGCCACUUUAGAGAUUGGAAAAUAUUUUAAAAGAAAACUAUUAUGUAACUCCUUCCAAUCUCCAUGAACACUCCCUACUUUGAGUUUGUACCAAUGUCUAGCUUUUCCCGUUAAAGAGAACGGAAAGAGCUUCCAUUUAAGGGUCUCAUCGUACAUUCCUUCUAUGCGAAGGAGGUCACAGACUCGAUAAAACUCUCUUAGGUGUGUGUAUGGGUUUUCCUCACCUUCUCCUGAAAAAGGUUGUUUUUGAACAAAUUCUAUAUAUUCGGGGUCUAUCUCAAAACUAGAUGCUAUGAUAGGCUUUGAAGAUUUUGGUGGUUCGAGAUGUGUGCCCGUAGGUCUGUGAAAUUCAUAGAUAGACAUGUUUGAAUUCAUGAUAGACCAGAGAUCAAGGAUUAGAGAAGAAGAAAGAUUAGCAGAGAUGAGGCAAAGGAUAAAAGGAAGUUUUGUUUUUUAGAAAAUGAUUAAGCUAGUUCGUAGUCAACUCAGCAACCGUUUCCCCGGCAACGGCGCCAAAAAUGCUUGUUGACACUUGCUAACACCACUUGAAUACUAGGUUGUCAUCCCCAGCAUGACACUAGAGUGUACUAUGGUAUUUAUACGCACACAGAUAAUCCACAAGCGCACAGAUACCGUUAUAGCUUUUUACCCGCUUAAAGGUUUUAUCGUAUCCACAGGGAAACGGGGGAACCAACUACGCUCUAACUUAACCAAGAUAAAUAGAUAAGUGUAAAUAGGAAAGAUGGUAGAAUUAAAUAAGAACAAUAUUAAAGGUAAGAUAACAAUGGGUGAUAAUAUGAGAAUAGAGAGUAGAGCAAUUCUAGUAUAUGGGCGAUGGUAGCAGAAUAGAGAGGAUAACUAUGGUUUGUCUACUUCAAAGGGGUAUGUCUAUGUCUGGGACAAACCACGUGAUAAGAGUACACCACAAAGGAUGCUUAUCCUUAGGCCGAUAAACCCUACCUGUCCUGCUAACGAGAGGUGGACUACAGAGGACCAACGUAAGUGUCACCUACGCGGCCUACCACACGAUCCAGCUAGACAGGGGAUAUCUACAAGUAAUCUAGGUCUAAGCACUUCGCUUACACCUAUACUACAACUCUAACCUAUAGCGUCCUAUAGAUUAAAGUACUCAAAAGAGUUGUGAACCAGAGCAUACAUGAUUAGUAAUUGCAUAAUGAAUUAGAAGUAGAUUACCAGAGUCAUCCCAUGAGCAAGCUUGAUUAGAGCUUGAUCAUGACGAAGUACAACCGGAGGAAGAACCGACAGGCCGGCCUCUCCUCUAAUCCUCCUUCGCUCUCCAUCUUGCUACUAUCUAGAUCUACUCUAGUUUAGAGAAGAGAGGAGAGCUCUCAUCUCUAAACCCUAGCUUUUGCUCUAUCUAUGAAUAAUGAAUAAUGAUCAAGGGGUGCCUCCUCUAGGGGCCAGGGGGUCUGGUUAUAUAGUCCCCUCAAGUGAACCUGGGCCGUUGGAUCAAACCGAUAUUGAUUAGACGGUUAUCCUUGAUCCUUUAGGUCGGUGGAGAUCUCCCCCAAAACAGAGUCCUGAUUGGGCUCCAACAGAGGGCGGGCGUCCAGGAAAGGAGGGCGGGCGCCCUGCCUCUGGCCCCGUUUCGCCUCCGCUUCGGUCUCGUGGCUUCUGGAGUCUUCUAGAUGUAAGAUAAUUGCGCGGCACGUUAAUAUCUCUAUGUAAUCCCGACGUGUGGGCCUUUCUUCCGUAUUUCCUGAUAACCCCCUGUAGAAAUAGACAAAUACCAAAACUCGUGGAAUACUGUCAGAUAAAACCCUAAGUCUAGAUGUUGAUUUCAUUUGGAUCCUUUUCUUUGUUUAUUUGAUAAUUAAAUUUGAUACUUAAGGACCGUCAACAACGCGCCUUUUCUCGCGCUCCACGUCAUCCUCCUUCACUGGAGGCUUUGAGGACCGAACAUCGAUCGCCCCUUGGUAAAACAAGCACAAGUCUCAGGAAUAUUGGAAAGGAAAUAGCGAAACCAAGAACAAGGGUCGAAUGACAAUAACUCGAGGGGCUUACCAGAUCGUAGUAACCUUCCUCAGACUUCAUGGGGAAGCCGUUGACCUGCUCUGGCUAGAAAUUGCCUAAAACGGCUGCCCUAACCCUGGUGGCGACCUCCUCGUCCAGGAGCGCCUCGUUAGACGUUCGACAUGCCUCGAGAUCCCGAAACGGAACGCGGGGAGCCAUCUCAUCCAGUCUCUGGUCCAGACAUCAACGAGAGCACCCGUCGAUGGUGGACCGCCAAGAGAACGAGUGCGGCGUCUUGACAAUGCCGUAGUUCCAACUGUGCGGGCGCUCUGAGAUCAACCGCCCGGUGUAGGCAGGGAAGGGUCCAUCAUCGUUGUGGAGAUAAAACCACUAAGAGUCCCACUGGGCAUGGUUGGACGUCAGCCCAGUGGGGAUGUAAUCUCGAGGCCCUUUCGCAUGGCCCAUCUUCUGGACUAGGUUGAGGCAGCCGGCUCGCACCGGCUUCCUCACCCCAGCGGCUCCACUAGGAGCACGGAACAGCUCGCCUCGGUAGAGGUGGAGCCACAAGUCCCAAUGCAGCAUCACCCCCAAGUAGCCCUCACACAACGCAGCAAAGAUUGCCGUGGUGGAGAUAGCAUUGGGGGAAAAGUGUCAGAGCUCGAUGCCGUAGUGGUGGCAGAGCGCCCUCGUGAAGCGGCUCGGAGGAGAUCCUAGCCCGUGGCGGUGGAAAUUGGUGAAGGAGACGACAUAGCCCUCCGGCGGGUUUGGUUCUCGGUGCUCCACUGGCGGCGUGAUCCACUCAGGCUGCGUCGAGGAAGCAUGGGGGCACAGGAGGCCCUCCUUCUCAAAGUCCCGUAACCGGCGCUCCAUCAUGGUCGACGGGCGCCACUCGUCGGCGGCAAUCCUCAUCGGCAUCUUGCAGGGUGGUGAAAGGCGACUAUACAAAUAUCUCCACUCAAGAAUAUGUUGUGUCACAGGUGCGCAAGAAGGUGUAGGGAGAGCAGGAGCAAUGACAAUGGCGGAAUGCGGAAGGGACGACAGCCGGGCGGAGCUCCGAUAUUUAUAAGCAUGCCGUAACGGGCGGAUCCUACAAUCACGGUAACCUCCUCAAUGAAUGCGCCGCCUAGCAGUCUUAUUUUCCUAUGGCAGGGCAUUAUAGAUUCCACCAACGGAACAGCGUCGUAGCGGCUCCCUCCUAAAAAGGCGCGCACAACGGACAAGAAAGUGAACCGCCACAACUCUUCCUUCUGUCACAAGGUAAGACGGGCGUGUGCCACCAUAAGAACCUCGAGGGAGCAUAGACCAGCCCACCGGAUGGGUUCGAUGGUCGCCCUCGAGUACCCGAGUCAGGGGCACCCAUUGAGAGGUCGAAACAAGGCAUACCUCGAGGACUCCCUGGGAGUAUCCAAGGCAGAGGCAAGAAGGUCGAGAGGAAUCCCCAGAGAGGGAGGCGUCGAGCCGCUGGACUCUAUCGAAUGAGACUAGUAUCCUCCACCACACUAGCCUGGCUUUAAUGAGAGUGCCUCCAGGCUGCAGCCAACCCUAUCGAACUGGGCAUGGGUUCUCGCUUGGAUCACCCGAUAAAAGCUCACCCAAGACGAUGAUGCUCGCUCCAUCGGGGGUACAUCACGCUCCUAGCCCCAAAGGGGUAAAACCAGCCAAUGAGGGUCGGAGGUUCCCUCCCAGAACGAAUGCCCCUUAGCGAAAAGGGAAGUCGAGAAUGGUCAGGUCUAGAAGAGCAAUAUAGCCCUCAAAGGAGUCCAAGAAUCCUUCAAGGCCUCGGGGGCUACCCCCGCGGGGGUCGCUCGCGCGACCCCCAUGGAAACUCGACCAUCAGAAGAACAAUUGCUCGAACACAAGUGCUCGAACUGGGGCUCGGGGGCUACUGUCGAGGAUGUCAAUAGGGGGUACCCCACCCAACACUCACAAUGAGAAGAUUCACAAACAAUUUGAGGCUCAGGCUCAACGUUCCAGCAUAAAUACGGGAUCACUAAAGUCGCUGUUCGAACGAGGACACGACAUUGACCAUAGCCUCGAAUACAGAAACAAGGUCGAGCGAAUCAGCAAGGGCUUGAUAGCUAGCGACCGUCGAUUACGGAAAGAGCGUCGAGCGAAUCGACAAGCCUCGAGCACAAAAGCGCUCCCAGCCGCCUGUCGCGGGUAUGGGAGCCAGAGCAUUAAAUGCGACUGCCAUGCUCCCACCUAACCCGAUAGUCACGGGAAGCGUGAUACGGGAACAAGCACCCAUCAAAUCUCUACUUUUUAUUGCUUUAUCCUCAAGAUUGGAGAAAAGUACAAACUGCCAUAGUGCAGCAGGCGUAAUAUCCCAUCACGACCCCCUCGAGAUGUUAAAGGUCAGCGCUCCUACAUCACAAAGCCGCCCAUGGCACCUCACCUUCGAGCAGGCACAAUCCAUCCCAGGGAAGGAUCGAGCGAUGGAAGUCAGUGCUUCAACCACUCUAGACAUGACUACUGCCACAACAUACAGGCAUGCUCGUACCUAAGCCAAUACCAGACAAUGUAUAGGAGUUGAAUUUAGGGAACGCACGCGCCAUCAUCACCAAAGUACCCCGUAACAAGAUGGCUCGAGGACACACCGGUACGGAUGCCUCGAGUAGGUCAGCGCCAUACCCCUAUUGAGGCCUACUCAAACACCUACACCCUGUAACCUAGGUCUCCCCUUGAACUAUAAAAGGGGACGCUGAGGACGAAAUCAAAAGAGACAUCCAAGACAUCUAGAAUACACGAUCCACAUACCACCACAACCGGCUAGGACUUAGAACCCUCAGCUACAUUUCACUUGUAUUCGCUCGUGUACAAGCACUUAUGUGCAAGAUAAUACACACUCCCCCCGCUGGACGUAGGGCCUUCUUUUGCCUGAACUAGGAUAAAUCUUUGUGUCACUCUUGCAUAACCAUUUGAAAAAGGGAGCACGCAUACAAAUUCACUCGUCGGUGUUACCCCCCGGGGGCAAAAUACUGAUAGUUCUAUACAAGAAAGUAAACUAUUCUAGUUUGCACGAAUGUAAGGGAGAGGAUUUGAUCUUUAUAUUUCUGCAUAGUGUAACAGAACCGUCCAAAUUAUAAGAGAUUAAGCCUAAUAGUGACCAUUUGCACAGUCAAACCAUCGAGCUUAAACCCAUAUAAUCCCGGUAGUCCGUGAAAUCUCGAGGGAUUUCGAACCACAAUUCGUACAUACAACCAAGAUCGUAAUAAGUUCAGCGGCCACCAUUCACAAUUACAUCCAGUUCACAAACAUUCAUCAAAUACAUCGGAGUGCUUAAAAUUAUUACAAACCAAGUUCUCAAGUAGCGGAAGCUUCAUAGUUUGAAAGUAACACACACACAAAUUCAUUUUGAUACAGUGGCAUAGUUUGGUUAUUCCCGCAAAAGCAAAAGAGAAGAUAGAGUGACCAUCGCCCUUGGUCUAGUCAUCGCCCAUGGCUGGGUACAGGCAGAGGAUGCAAUAACCAUAGUACAUUUGACCAUCUGCAAAACAACAUGGGAAUUGAUAAUAUCAUUACCUAUUAUCUAGGUUUGCACCUGUACUAUUACAAGCAAGUGUAGUAAUAUGAUGGUACCUCAUCAUAGCAUUCAUAAAUCAUUUAUCAUCAUAACCCAAGUGUUCCAUAAUCCUUACUACGACGACGAAGCUCAUGUCAAGUGCUCACUAUCCAGGAGCGAUGGCAAUUCGAAUCGAUUUCUAACCAACUGGCGAGUUAUUCCCCACACAAACCACACUCACUGAUCAAGUGAGCUACAAAUCACCGUGUUACACUAUCCAGGACCAAUUCGCGGGUUCGGCAGGCACCGCCAGUACCCGAGGACCGUUCCGGCGACCGAGGUAUCCAAUGUAUACCAAGGUUGCGCGCCGCUCCCUUGUCGUUCUCCUCAACCAUCACCAAUACAGCGCAUGGCGGCUCGACUCCCGGGCCGGAUAGUGUUCAGGCUUUGCGGUCAGAACGACUUAUCCUUCCAGCUAAGUGUGGGGCAUGCAUUCAACAUGACAAGAGGGCCGUCAACGAUCGGUCCUUAAUCGACACAGGCAGGGGCACUAUGAUGAACCCACCACAAGACCCUGCCCGGUCUCAAAUUCCUUUCCACACUUGGUUAUUCUUCCCCAUAGCAAUUACAGCUAAUCAAACAGGUGUCCACCUAUAUCUCGUAGGUGACAGGAAAUCACCCAACUUCUACCGGACUAAGCAAACUAAGCAUGGACUCCGUACCUAUCUACAUAGGACAAGGUAGAUAAACAAGUGGUGAUAUCAAGGAGUACUUAUGCAUCAACGGUAUCAAGCAAUUCCUAUCAAUUAAAUGCAACAUCGUAGAACAGGCAUAAUAUAUCAUUUAAGUUAGCGAGAAUAGGGAGACUUAGAAUGCUCCGGGACUUGCCUUUCUCAAACAUGCUCGGUCUGUGGUCCGGGCACUCCUGCAGCUCCUCUCCGGGCUCUGGUCCUCCCAGAGGUUUCUGCUCCUGGGUCUCCUCUUGCUCCUCGGGUCCCACCUCGUUCUCCUGCGAGUCUGUAUGAUGCAUGUGUGCUUAUGAGUGGAGUGUGAGAUGCCCGAGAUGCGAAUGCUUAUGUAAGUGGGUAGCAGAUGACUAUGUGGUGCAUAGACGAUAUAAGCUGUCACUUUUGCAAGGUAGUCAACAUCAUCCAAGAAUAUGAAAUUGAACUAAACAUCCAUUACAUUCUCUUCUACAAGCUAUCUUCAAGGUUAACCAGAAAGCUCACAUGAUGCUUUAAAGAUACACCAAACAACCUUUUAUUCUAUCUAAUUCAUACACAACAAUUUUUAUUUUAUUUACUCACUUUUCGGACCUACAAAAGUAGCAUAUAUCUCUGUUUAAUAAUAAAUUCCACAAAAAUUACAGUAGACUACUAGUCAAUCAUAAAGUUUACCAUAAAUUUUUCAUAAUAUUUGGACAUUUAUUUUGGACUACAAAAAUUACAAGAUUAAUCUAUAUAAGCAAGUAUAAAUACCCUACUGUGGUAUAAGUGUCAAACAACAGAUUUCAUAUUUUUAUAAUUAACUUAUUAACAUAAGAAACACCCACAAAAAUUUCCAGAUUAAUUGCAUGAUCCAUUUAUUUAUUAAAACUCAUAAACCACUGCCAUGCAAGCAUUUAAACCACCACAUAUUAAUUCACACAGCAAUUAAUGUGUAACAUAUUUUUCCCAGAGCCUAAUCGUCCAUACCAAGCCAACAAAACAAGUUUCAUAUUUCUCUGAGCUAUAUAUUUAAUUACUAUGCCUUUUCCAAUUUUCAUCAAAAACAUGGAUAAAUACAAUUGUACAGAAAAGUUGUUCAAACAUGACAUGCAACCACACCAAGCUAUAGAUCUGGAAUUACAGAGUUCAUCAAACUUUAUUUCAUAAAUUUUGGAGCUGUAGAACUCAAGUUAUGAAAUAUACAAGAUUUAAACAAAUUCUGAAAAACCUUUAUUUAAGAAAAACCGACGGAAAACGCUAGAUCCACCCAGAUCCACACCCGCAGAGGCGCUGACAGGUGGGAUCCAGGGGUCGUGGCCCCACGGGUCAGCCACGCCGUACUCCGGCCGACUUCGGCCGGCCGGCUCUCGCCGACGGCGAGGUCUCCGGUGGUGCGGAGGGCACCUACGGCUUCGUCUCGAUGAGACGAACACGUUGAGCUAACUCUCAUCGACGGUGGAGGUCCCUAGCGGCAGCUAUGGCGUACGGCGGAGCUCGGUGGCGCUGCUCACCGGCGUCCGGCCGUCUCCGGCCGAUAGAGCGCGAACGGAGGGGUGCUUAGGGUUCGCGGGAGCACGAUGACCACAACGCGCAAACAAACGAAGAGAAAGGAGGUCGAGAAGGGAAGAUCCGCGCGGACCGAGAGCUCGCCGUAGCUCCGGCCAUGUCGCGGCGGUGAAAUCUCACCUAUUACCUUGACGCGGACGGCCGAGAGCAUGCGCACGAGGUUGCGCUCGUCGAGGCGGAGCUAGGGGUGGGUUUAAUCGAGCGCGUGUGACCGGAGUUGGGAGCUGGGCUUCGGCGCCAAUGGCGCACGGCGGAGCGCCGCCGCGGCCGCUGCUUGCUGCUCGCACGGGGAGGAAGAAGAGAGAGAAGCGGGGAGACAGAAUGGCACGUUGGGGCACGGGGAGCCGUCCCGACCGGGGUAAGCCGGUCGGCCGCGACGCGUCCACGACGCCGGCCUACGGCCGCCACGUGGCCGGCACCGGGUGGAGCGAGGCGGGCGCCCGCGCGCGGGAGAGAGGGGAGGGGAAGCCGGGCUGCGUGGCUUCGCUGGGCCGAAAGGGAGGCGGGUCGGCCCAGCAGCGCCUGCCCCUUUUCUUUUUUUUGAAUUUCUUUUCCUCAAAAAGUUUAAAUGAGACUUUUGAAGCUUUUACAAAACUUUUUAGGGGCUAGAGUAAAAAGAAGAAUUGCUCCCCAUAAAAUUCCCUACAACUUUGUUUUAAUAAGCAAAGCCAAAUUCCAAAUAAAAUUUGAAUCACAGAUUAAAACUAGUUCUAGGUUUUUAAAUAAAUCUAUUUUGGGAAUUUUUGUAUAAAAUCAAUUUCUCAAUUUCUAUAGCUCCAAAAAUAUCACCAAUUUACUCUUAAAUCUUCUAACACUUAUUUCAACCUAAUUUGGGCAAUUCAAGAAUUUAGAAGAAAGCAUAAUAUUUUUACUAUAUUUAAUUCACAUAAAAUAAAGCACAUGAAAUCACAGUUGAAUGAAUGACAUGCUUAUGCAAUGCUAUGCUUGAUGAUAAUGCUUGUGGAUGAGUUUAUGAGACUAAGUGCAUGCUUAACACCUAGGGUGUUACAGCCCUUCCCCCCUCAGGGAAAUCUCGUCCCAAGAUUUGGGUUACUAACCAUUUCUUAUGAAAUUUUGGGUAAACUGUUUUUAGGUAAUCCUCGGUUAUCCCAUGUAGCAUCCCUAUCAUCAUGAUCACUCCACACCACCUUGUAAGUCUUGACAACUCUAUUCCGGGUUACCGCUCCUUGGUAUCUAUGAUACCCACUGGUUGUUCCUUGUAUUCCAAAUCUGCCUUUUUCUUGAUUCCGCGGGGUUCAAUCCUCUGCUCGGGUACUUUCAAACAUCUCCGCAGCUGCGACACAUGGAAGACUAGGAAGAUUGAACUUAACUCUUAAGGUAACUGAAUCUUGUAGGCCACAGGGCCUUUCCUUUCUAGUAUCUGAUAUGGUCCCACAUAUCUGGGUGCAAGCUUGCUUCGAGCUCGGAAACGCUGAACUUUCUUCAUGGGCGUAACCUUGAGGUAAACAUAGUCACCUAUAUUGAAUUCGAGCGGCCUUCUUCUCUUAUCAGCAUAACUCUUUUGUCGCAAUUGUGCCGCCUUCAUAUGCUGCUGUAUGAUUUGCACCUUUUUCUCAGCCUUGUUCACGAAGUCGAUACCAUAGUAUCUCCUUUCACUCGGUUCAACCCAGUUUAACGGAGUUCUACACUUACGACCAUAAAACGCUUCGAACGGAGCCAUCUUGAUACUCUCUUGAUAGCUAUUAUUGUAUGAGAACUCAGCCAAAGGCAACCAUGAUUCCCAUGAUCCUUUGGAUGAUAACACACAAGCCCUCAGCAUAUCUUCGAGCACUUGAUUGAGUCUUUCCGUUUGACCCGAGGUUUGGGGAUGAUACGCUGUGCUUCUUAUCAGACUAGUCCCCAAACUCUUAUGCAUUCGCUCCUACAAAUGAGCAGUGAACUGCGGUCCUCUAUCUGAUAUGAUGGUCUUAGGAAUACCAUGUAGCUUGCCGAUCUCUGCCAUGUAUAUAUCCGUAUACUCAGGAGGUCUGUACGUGUUCUUAACUGGAAUGAAAUGAGCCGACUUGGUCAAUCGAUCUAUGAUUACCCAAACCGAGUCAUUCCCCUUUCGUGUUGUCAGUAAACCCGUGAUAAAGUCCAUAGUGACCUCUUCCCAUUUCCACUCUAGAAUUGACAACGGUUGCAACAUGCCUGCAGGUUUCAUAUGUAUAGCCCUGACUCUACAACACGUGUCACAGCGGGCCACAUAUGCUGCUAUUUCCUUCUUCAUUUUGGUCCACCAAAAGUGAGAUCUUAGAUCUUGAUACAUCUUACUACUACCAGGAUGAAUAGAAAGCUUGGAGAGAUGUGCUUCAUCCAUGAUGCGGUUCUUCAAUUCUCGAUUCUUCGGGACCACCAACCGGUGUUGAAACCAUAAUACCCCUUUUUCAUCAACUCAGAACUGUGUCUUUGGGUCGUUUUUGAUCUUUUCUUUGAUAUGGAAAAUACCCUUGUCUGUUCUCUGACCCUCGAUGACUUCACUUUCAAGUGAACAACUGAGUUGUAUGUGACAUAAGACUUCAGGAUGCAUGAGAUUGAACCCAUCCUCAAACAACGGUUGAACCACUUGAUAGUGCUGUUUGCGACUCAAAGCGUCUGCUACCACAUUAGCCUUGCCCGGAUGAUAAUGGACUUCCAGAUCGUAAUCCUUGAUCCGCUCUAACCAUCUUCGUUGCCUCAUAUUCAGCUCAUACUGAGUGAAGAUGUAUUUCAAACUUUUAUGAUCUGUGUAAAUAUGACACUUGUUUCCCAGCAAAUAGUGCCUCCAGAUCUUCAGAGCGUGCACCACUGCUGCUAACUCAAGGUCGUGAGUUGGGUAGUUGACUUCAUGCUUUCUCAAUUGUCGUGAAGUGUAAGCUAUAACUCUGCCAUCUUGCAUCAGCACACAUCCUAAACCACUUUUUGAUGCGUCGCAAAACACAUCAAAAGGCUUCUCGAUAUUGGGUUGCGCUAGAACGGGAGCGGUGGUCAGCAACUUUCGCAAGGUGCGGAAGGCUAGUUCACACCCUUCCGUCCAGACAAACUUAUGACCCUUUUGUAGCAAACUGGUCAUUGGCUUAGCAAUCUUGGAAAAGUCAGGUAUGAAACGAUGGUAAUACCCGGCUAGGCCAAGAAAGCUUCGAACUUCCGAGACAGAAGUUGGUGCCUUCCAGUCCAUAACUUCCUGUACCUUUGAUGGAUCCACAACAAUCCCUUCUUCAGACAGAAUAUGCCCUAGGAAAGGAACUUUCUUCAGCCAGAACACACACUUGCUGAACUUUGCAAAUAACUGAUGCUCUCGCAGUCGUGUUAGCACGACUCUUAGAUGCUCGACAUGAUCUUGCUCAUUCUCUGAAUAAACCAGAAUGUCAUCGAUAAACACCACAACAUACUUGUCUACCUCUGGCAUAAAGACCGAGUUCAUUAGAUACAUGAAGUAUGCAGGAGCAUUUGUCAAUCCAAAGGACAUGACAAGAUAUUCAUACAACCCAUAUCUGGUGGAAAAGGCAGUCUUCGGGAUAUCUUGCGGACGGAUCUUGAUUUGGUGAUACCCGGACCUUAAAUCUAUCUUGGAAAACACUCUGGCCUUGGACAAUUGAUCAAAUAGGAUAUCAAUCCUUGGCAAUGGAUACUUAUUCUUGAUUGUUACCACAUUGAGUGGACGAUAGUCCACGCACAUGCGCAGCGAUUGGUCCUUCUUUUUCACAAACAAUGCCAGACAACACCAUUCCGACGAACUUGGCCAGAUGAACCCUUUAUCUAACAACUCCUUCAGAUGAUUUUUCAACUCAGCGAGUUCAUUUGGCGGCAUCCGGUACGGCCUUCUAGAUAUCGGUGCGGUACCUGGUAUCAACUCGAUUGCAAACUCUACUUCCCUAUCUGGGGGAAGUCCUGGCAAUUCCUCAGGAAAAACAUUAGGGAACUCACAGACUACUGGGAUCUGUGGCAGAGGAACCACGUGCGUAGCACAUGAGAUGCUAGCAAAAUCAAAGCGACGGGGCAGAGGUACUUGAAAAGAUCCACUGCCCUGAGGUUCUCUGAGAGAUAACACCCUCUUUCCAGUAUCUAUGACCACAUCCCACUCUUUCAUCCAGUUCAUGCCCAUGAUAACAUCCAAAACUAACCCAGGCAUGACUACCAGAUUUACUCGAAACACCCGCUUACUUAUAUCCAAGGUUGCCCCUCGGACCACUCUAUUUGUCAACACAUCUGCCCCUGCUGAGCUGAUGCGAAAGCCAUAACCCAGAUCUGUAAUUGCUUGGUUAUGUUUUUGUGCAAAUGCUUGGCUCAUGAAUGAAUGCGAUGAUCCAGAAUCAAACAAAACAACUGCAAGAUGUUGGUUGACAGGGAACAUACCAGCUGUUACCUGUUCUCCUUCCGGAAUCUCCUCUAUCGAGGUAUGGUGCACUCGUGCUGGGUAGGUCAUCUGCUGCCUCUUGGGGUAGGGACAUUCCUUAGCAAAGUGUCGAGGGUAUCAACAAGGGGUACCCUCACCAACACAAAUAACGAGACCAUCCGUACAUAAGACUAGAUCUUCGAUUCGACGCUCCAUCCAUAUAUACGCGCAACCGUCGACGGCCGCGGCCUCGAAGACGGAAGUAGCGUCGAGCGAAUCGAUUAGGGCUCGAGCGCCAACUGUCGUCGAAUACGGAAGCGGUCUCGAGCGAAUCAAGAGGCGUCGAGAGCAAGGACACUGCCCGCCGCGCGCACGAGAGCCAGGGCAUUUAAUGCACCUGACGCUUCCCCACCUAACACAUGGGUCACGGAAGACGUGAUAAGGGAACAAGCAUCUGUCCCAUCGUUCUUUUUGCAGCCUUCCCACCAGACGACCCUGGAUAUGUCAGAACGCGGGAAACGAGGAUGGAACGUCUAGUCGGGACCCCCUCGAGACAUCUGAAGUCAGCGCUCCAGAUAUCAGCACAAUGUACGGCAUCCGAACCUCGACCAGACAGGGAUCCUUCCAGGGGACGAGUUGGGCGUCGACUGACUACAUCCCAACCACUCCGCUGGAUUUGCCGUCGGGUCGUACGAGCGCACAUCCGGUAAACCAAUCCAAGACGGGGCGCAGAGCAGGGUAACAGAGCACGCGUAAUCAUCGCCAGGCUACCAAGACGGGACGGCUCGAGGCCAUGCCGGUACGGAAGCCUCGAGUAGGUCAGCGCUCCAUGCUGCUAUCGACUCCUAUUCUGACGCCUAUACAUGUACCUUGGGUCUCUCCUUGGGACUAUAAAAGGAGGGACUCAGGAAUAGAACGACAAGGCAACACCACGCUCAUACGUAGUAGAGCUCCACACUUCAUACCGCGCUUGUAUUCACCCCAGUACAAGCACUUAGGUGCAAGAUAAUACAAACUCUCUCCCCCCCGCUGGACGUAGGGCCUUCUCUUGCCCGAACCAGGAUAAAUCUCUGUGUCUUCUUGCAUCACCAUCUGGGAAAGGGAGCACGCAUACAAAUUUACUCGUUGGUGUGACCCCCCGGGGGGAAAACACCGACAGUUGGCGCGCCAGGUAGGGGUCCUGCGUGUUUUUUCAUCGAUUUCCCACUCCUUUCCAGAUGGCCACUCUUGCCACGCCGUUUCCGCGCUCCACGGUGAUUUGGUUUGGGAGUCUCGAGUUCAUGUCUACGGGCUCCGGCUACGACAUGAUCUUGCUCUCGGUCAGAGAACCAGGAGGAGCCCGCGUUGCGCCAGCACGGUUGAAGGCCCCGAGACGCCCUCACCACCACGCCUCCCCGCCUAAGAAGAGGCACGGACAGCACCACCGCGGCCCCUCUGCCUCAUCACGACCAACAACUCGUGCGAGGCAGGAAGUGGGCCACAAGUCGGCAGCACCGCGUGGUGGAGCAACAAGCGCGACGACUCAGCACCACACAACGACGGGAGGGGACGCGUCUCGCGCACUUUCCCCCACCGCUGCCAGGCUACUUCCACACGGGUUGUUCACUCCAAGAGCGGCACUGCCAUUCGGAUUGGACAACGCCGCGGCGUCGCUCGCCAGAGCGAUAUGCCCAAACGCCCGGACGUACGUGGAAAGACCAACGGUCCUCCCACGUGGCUCUGAAGCGCAGCAGCCGGCGCCCGAGCUGCCGGACCUUUCCCGGGUAUGAGGCCUCCGUCGUCUAGGCCCUGGACGUUACACAAUCACCUCCCUCAGGCAGCGAUUGCUGGAGGAGGGGCGUGGGUGUUUCUACGCCGCCGAACCAGACUCCGACUCUGAGACUGAUAGCUACGACCCUACGAGGGAAUGCUAUCACAUCGACGGAGCGGUAGAAACUACCGAUGAGACACAGGAUGCCGCUGCGGGCGGUCGAGCCCCCGCGGCACGAGAAGACCCCAGGACGCCUGGGAACGACGGACAAGUCGACCCCCCUCCGCAGGAAGACAGAACCGCGCAGCUCACGCAGCUGCGGGAGCUCAAGAUGAAGCUCGACGAAGACCGCGAGCGCCUCGUCCUGCUCGAGCAAAUCCUCGAGCAAGACCUGCCCUACCCGCCGGGCGGAAGUGUCCGCAGACGCGCUCGAGAGGUACAUCGUCAGAUCAUCGGCGACGUAGAGCCAGAGCAACCUGUGAGUCGUUUCCCUCGAGCAGGCCAGAAUGUAGUGGCGGCAACGAUGUUGCUGCGUAACAUGCCAGAGCCUUCGAAUUCCCAGGCCCGACGCAUUCGAGAUGAGGUACAGACAUUGCUCCAGGUGGCGGCAGUCCAACAAGCCGAAAGCUCGGCAUCUCGGCGACGAGGAGCUGCCACUGAGAAGCGUGACGAACAGCCUCAAAACGAAAAGGAGGUGUCAGUCCACCAACAGCCGCCCCCUCGAGGCAGAAAGACCGCUCUCAUCCUCCCCGUUGACAAUUAGCGUCGACACGACGCGCGGCACGACAUCGAAGAAAAUCGACGCCGCCGGCACGGAGAUGCGGAAGAGCGCGGUUACAGCGCGCAUCGCGGCGGGAGAUACGACAGCGAUGAGGAUCGGGUGGCCCCCGAGCCACCGGGCCCUCGGGUUUUCUGCAGGGCAAUCCGCAGCACGCCCCUGCCCAGUCCAUUUCGACCCCCGACCAGCAUCGCAAAGUACAACGGCGAAACCAAGCCAGAAUUAUGGUUAGCCGAUUUUAGGCUAGCCUGUCAGUUGGGGGGAGCUCGAGGAGACGAUCGAGCUAUCAUCAGGCAACUCCCGCUCUUCCUCUCCGACACCGCCCGUCGAUGGCUCGAGGAACUCCCCGCCGAUCAGAUCCACAACUGGGUUGAUCUGGUCAGAGUCUUCGAGGGUAACUUCAAAGGGACCUACAUACGGCCAGGGAACUCGUGGGACCUCAGCAAGUGUAAGCAGAAGUCAGGAGAAACUCUCCGAGAGUAUGCUCGACGCUUCUCAAAGCAGCGCACUGAGCUGCCGCACAUUCCUGACCACGACGUCAUCUUGGCAUUCGUCUCGGGCACCACCAGUCGAGACUUGGUGCGGGAGUUAGGUCGUAAUCGACCUCAGACCGUCGAUGAGCUGAUGGACGUAGUAGCCAACUAUGCGGCAGGGGAGGAGGCAGUCGGCGCCUUCUUCAGCCAUGAAGGAAGAAAAGGCAAGCAGCCCAUCGAUGAAGAUGGGACCCCCGGUCGAGGCCUCAAGAAAAAUAAAAAGAAGCAGAAGGCACGGCCGUUCCACCGGGAGGAUUCCGAUGACAAUCUUGUCGCCGCCAUGGAUCGAAAGAAACCUCGAGGCCCUCCGGAUGGAGGCAUCUUCGACAAGAUGUUGGAGGAGCCGUGCCCUUACCAUAAGGGAGGCGCCAACCACAAGCUCAAAGACUGUCGUAUGCUGAGAAAGCAUUUCGACGGUCUGGGGUUCAAAAAAGAUGCGCGUGACGACUCCAAGAAAGAGAAGGGUGGCAGCAAGGAAGACAACAAAGAGGACGAUGCCUUCCCCGCCGUCCACGACUGCUACAUGAUCUAUGGUGGGCCCUCGACUCCAUUAACCACGAGGCAGCGCAAAAGGGAGCGUCGUGAGGUCUUUGCGGCAAGAAUGGCGGUGCCCCAGUACCUUAGCUGGUCAAGCACUCCUAUCACUUUCGACCGAGAGGACCACCCUGACAAGGUAGUCGCCCCAGGCGUCUACCCACUCGUCGUCGACCCCAUCAUCGUCAACACCCGGCUCUCGAAAGUGCUGAUGGAUGGUGGCAGCAGCCUCAACAUCAUCUACCUCGAGACCCUCGACCUCCUCGGCAUCGAUAGAGGACGCCUCCAGCCAAGCGCCGGCGGUUUCCAUGGCGUCGUGCCAGGGAAAAAGGCACUGCCAGUAGGUCGAAUUGACUUACCGGUCUGCUUCGGCACGGCGGCCAACUUCAGAAAGGAGACCCUCACCUUUGAGGUGGUUGGGUUCCGAGGCACGUACCACGCCAUCAUCGGACGCCCGGGCUACGCCAAGUUCAUGGCUAUACCCAACUAUACCUACUUGAAGCUGAAGAUGCCCGGUCCCAAAGGUGUCAUCACUGUCAGUUCCUCCUUCGAGCAAGCGUACGAGUGCGACGUCGAGUGCGUCGAGUACGGGGAGGCGGUCGAGAGCUCCACCGAGCUCGUCGCGAAGCUCGAGGCCCUAGCCGCUGAGGCUCCAGAGCCUAAGCGCCACGCGGGCAGCUUCGAGGCGGCAGAAGGAACCAAGAAGAUCCCGCUCGACCCUAGCAAUUCCUACGGCAAAGUGCUGACGAUCAGCACCGACCUCGACCCCAAAUAGGAAGCUGUGCUCGUCGACUUUCUCCGUGCAAAUGCCGACAUCUUUGCAUGGAGUCCCUCGGACAUGCCAGGCAUACCGAGGGAAGUCGCCGAGCACUCCUUGGAGAUUCGAGCCGGUUCCAAGCCAGUGAAGCAGCGGUUGCGCCGAUUCGACGAGGAGAAGCGCAAGAUCAUUGGCGAGGAAGUCCACAAGCUUUUGACGGCCGGAUUCAUCAAGGAGGUUCAUCAUCCCGACUGGUUAGCAAACCCUGUAUUAGUUAAGAAAAAGAAUGGGAAAAUGAGGAUGUGUGUCGAUUAUACUAGUCUAAAUAAAGCAUGUCCAAAAGUUCCUUUUCCAUUGCCACGUAUUGAUCAGAUUGUCGAUUCUACCACGGGAUGUGAAACCCUUUCUUUCCUUGAUGCAUAUUCUGGUUACCACCAAAUAAAAAUGAAGGAGUCCGACCAGCUCGCGACCUCUUUCAUCACACCUUUUGGGAUGUAUUGCUACGUGACCAUGCCAUUCGGGCUUCAAAACGCGGGAGCUACGUACCAACGUUGCAUGCUCCAUGUAUUUGGUGAACAUAUAGGGUCGACGGUCGAAGCCUAUGUCGACGACAUCGUUGUCAAGACAAGGCGUCGAGGGGACCUAAUCCAGGACCUCGAGAUUGCUUUUAGCUGUCUACGCGCCAACCGGAUCAAGCUCAAUCCCGAGAAGUGCGUUUUCGGUGUGCCUCGAGGCAUGCUCCUAGGCUAUAUCGUUUCGCAGUGCGGCAUCGAGGCCAACCCCGAGAAAGUCUCGGCCAUCACGAGAAUGGGGCCGAUCCGAGACAUCAAGGGUGUGCAGAGAGUCACGAGAUGCCUGGCAGCUCUGAGCCGUUUCAUCUCGAGACUAGGAGAAAAGGCGUUACCAUUGUAUCGACUCCUGAAGAAGGCCGAGCGCUUUUCUUGGUCCCCCGAGGCCGAGGAAGCGCUCGAAAGACUGAAGAAGACGCUGACCUCGGCACCAGUCCUGGUUCCACCUCAACCUGCAGAGCCGCUACUCCUCUACGUCGCAUCGACAACUCAGGUCGUCAGUGCGGCAGUGGUGGUUGAAAGACAAGAGGAGGGUCAUGCGCUGCCGGUCCAAAGGCCAGUCUAUUUCGUCAGCGAGGUGCUUUCGGAGACCAAGGCGCGUUAUUCCCAAAUCCAGAAGCUGAUCUACGCCGUAAUCCUCUCCCGCCGCAACUCAGGUCCCCCAGAAGCCCUGGUAGACUUCGUUGCGGAAUGGACGGACUCCCAGCUUCCCCCAACUCAGGUCCAGGCGGAGCUGUGGACAAUGUAUUUCGACGGGUCACUCAUGAAAACUGGGGCCGGGGCUGGCCUGCUGUUCAUCUCACCCUUGGGCGUCCACAUGAGGUAUGUAAUCAGGAUUCAUUUUGCCGCAUCUAACAAUGUCGCAGAAUAUGAGGCCCUCGUCAAUGGUCUCAAGAUCGCUAUCGAGUUAGGAGUCCGACGCCUCGACGUCCGAGGUGACUCCCAACUCGUCAUCGACCAAGUAAUGAAAACCUCGAGCUGCCACGAUCCGAAAAUGGAAGCGUACUGCAAAGAAGUCUGUCGACUCGAGGACAAAUUCCAUGGUCUCGAGCUUGUCCAUGUCGCCCGACGCUACAACGAGGCAGCCGACGAACUCGCCAAGAUCGCAUCGACUCGAGGCACGGUGCCACCUGACGCGUUCUCAAGAGAUCUCCACGAGCCGUCCGUCGACUUAGGCUCGGGGGCUGGCGUCGACGCUGCUCAUUCCCAGCCAACCAACAUCGUCGAUACACUCUUAAUGGCAGCUGAAGUGAUGGAGGUAGAACGGCAGCCUGGUCGACCAUUCGACUGGUGCACACCAUACCUCGACUGCUUAAUCCAUGGCGAGCUGCCAGAAGACCGGUCAGAGGCCCGUCGUAUCGCUCAACGGGCCAAGUCAUAUGUGAUCUAUGGCGAAGGCAAUGAGCUAUAUUGACGGAGCCCGACGGGGGUCUUACAACGCUGCAUCACCGUGGAAGAAGGCCAAAAACUCCUCGAAGACCUGCACUCGGGGGCUUGCGGCCACCACGCCGCUCCGCGGACCCUCGUAGGGAACGCUUUUCGACAAGGCUUCUACUGGCCAACGGCCGUGGCGGACGCCAUCGAGCUCGUACGAUCGUGUCACGGGUGCCAGUUCCACGCCAAGCAGACGCAUCUGCCCGCCCACGCUCUUCAGAUGAUCCCCAUUACCUGGCCGUUUGCGGUGUGGGGGCUCGAUUUAGUAGGAGCUCUACAAAAGGCGAAAGGAGGAUACACCCAUUUGCUGGUGGCCAUUGACAAGUUCUCCAAAUGGAUCGAGGCACGACCCAUCACCAACAUCCACCGAGCAGGCCGUCCUUUUCUUCACCGACAUCAUCCAUCGGUUUGGGAUCCCCAACGUCAUCAUCACCGACAACGGCACCCAGUUCACUGGCAAAAAGUUCUUGGACUUCUGCGAUCAACAUCACAUCCGCGUGAACUGGUCUGCAGUAGCCCACCCCCGAACUAACGGCCAGGUCGAGCGUGCCAACGACAUGAUUUUGCAAGGACUCAAGCCAAGGAUCCACAAUCGAUUGAAGAAAUUCGGCAAGAAAUGGGUCGAGGAGCUUUCCUCAGUCCUAUGGAGCCUUAGGACAACACCAAGCAGGGCCACAAAAUACACCCCGUUCUUCAUGGUCUACGGCUCUGAGGCUAUCCUCCCCACAGACCUCGAGUAUGGGUCACCUCGACUGAAGGCGUACAACGAGCAAUCAAAAGAAGAGACUCAAGAAAAUGCGGUCGACCAACUCGAGGAGGCUCGAGACAUGGCCCUCCUCAACUCUGCCAGAUAUCAGCAGAAGCUUCGACGCUACCACGACAAGCAUGUGUGCAAGAGGAACCUCAACGUGGGCGACCUAGUCCUACGAUGCCGGCAAAGCAAUCAAGGACGCCACAAGCUGACUCCGCCUUGGGAAGGCCCGUACGUGGUGGCCGAGGUCCUGAAGCCGGGAACAUACAAGUUGGCGGACGAAAAGGGGGCAAUCUUCACCAACGCAUGGAACAUCGAACAGCUACGUCGAUUCUACCCCUAGAAGUUCUAAACUUAUGUUCCUGCUUACGUUUUGUACCAAGACUUUGUAAACGAAUGAAUGAAUAAAUAAAGUCCUUCCCUCGAAGCAACUUCCUUUUUAUGUCAAGAAGAUUCACAAGUCACGAUCUCGACGUUAAAAGGGGGCGCCGACUAUGACCCAUCAUAGUCAGCACCCCCUCGAGGGCUACCAGGGGGACGACCCCCCCCCCAAACGUCAAAAAAGCCAAGAAGUUUUCCUUUCUUACGUAGUAAACCUUGCACGGUUCAAGUAGCUAAGGCGCCUCGAGCCCUUCAAAGGCCGAGGGACAACGAGCUGGAGAACUCCUACGCCCCCGGGCUACGGAAACUCUACUCACUUCCCCACCAUUGAAGUGAUCGAGGUGAUUUUUCACGAAAGAUCGAGCAAGGGAUACAAACGUAGGCGCAAAGAAAAACAAAAGCAUCGAGCGGAAAGACAAAAUAAGCAUUUAACAAUUACGAAAAAGAUACUGUAUCAGUUAACCACAGAAUAAACAAAGUAUCAUACAAGGGGCCUCAGGCGCCCUGAGCAGGCUCGCAGGCCUCAGUCCGCGGCACGAUCCUCACCGCCCUCGCCUCCACCCGAGCUAACCUCAGGAGGGAGCACCUCAGGCUCGAAAAGCUUAGCCAACCUUUCCCCAGGAGCCUCCGCGUCGUCGAUCAAGGCAUGGAGCCUCUCCUCGUUCUCCGCGUCGGUCUUGGAGAUGUCGGUGAUGAAGCCAUGAGACACCACCUCCAUGUCGUAGGAGAAGCCUGAGCAGACAACCGCCAUCGCCCGCUUCACCCCGAUGUGGAGGGCGUCCCGCACCCGAUCUCGCAGCGUCGCGCCUAUGUAGCACAGCUGGUCGACUAGGGCGUCGCCUCGAGCACCCUCCCUCGACUCAUCCAUAGGCUCGACCUCCCAAGAGGUCGAGAGAUCACUUAUCGCCGUCCGCACUCGACGGUUCAAAGCAACCUCCGAUUCGAGCUGAGCCUUGGCGUUGCGAGCCUCGGCUUGGGCGGCCAGGAGUUCGUCCUUGAGACCUGUAAAGGCCAAUACAAGAGACCUUAGGAAAAACCAAGCACACCUCGGAAAAAGAAAUCUGAUAAAGGAAACGUACCGUGAGCGGUCUCCUCUAGGGCCGUGUUCUCACCAACCAGCCUGGUGUUGGCCCUCUCGAUCUCUUUGUUGGAGCGUGCCAGCUCGGUGUUGGCAACGCAGAGAUCCUCGAUCGCCUUGCCAGCCUGAACAAUGGCCCCACUCUUCUCCAGCAAUUCUCCCUUCAGACGCUCGACGUCGUUAGAGAGACUGCGGGAUCGAGCCCGCUCCGCCUCGAGAUCUUCGAGGGCCUUCUUCUUGGCUUCCUCCGCGGCGCCCCUGGCGACCUCGCCAUUCAUAUGCUCCACCUUCAUCCUUCAGAAGGACUCUCGGAGAGAGUCCAGGUCGGAUUUAAGGAGGCCCUUCUCCUUGUCCAGAUCCGCGAUAACGCUCUUGUAGGACAGGGCCUCCUCCCGGGCUCUGGACGCGGCCUCCUCGACCGUCAGAGCCCUCUCCCGCAGCAACGUCGUCUCCUCCACCGCCCUCCUUGAGGCCUCUCGAGCCUUGGCUAAGGCAGCCUCCCUCGCUUUCUUCUCCUCCUCGAGCGCUGUGAGGUCUUUGUAGGCCUAAAGGAGCUUCUCCUGCGACUCGAGGAGCUGAUCCUUGAGGAGGGGAAGCUGCUCCCAGCCGCCUCUCGUGGCGUGUAUGAAACUGGACUUGAUGCGGGAGGUCUCUUUCAUAUCCUGCGAACCAAGGGUCGAAUGAUUAAAACACAAAAACCCAAAGGGCACCACAAGGAUUGAAGCUCAAAAAGCACUUACAAAAUAAGCCGGGCCGAGCCCGUUGUUGAUAACGUCCGAGAGGAGCCCCACCACAUGUUUCAUCCAAAGGCGGAGCUCCUCGACGUGUUCCCACUUCUCUGCCUCCUUCCGAUCGUCGAGGAAGAUGUUAGGCUCAGACGGGUCGUGGGAGGCCCGGAUACGGAUGCGAUCGGGGCACCAGUGCUCCAUCUCCCGGUCGGCCCGCGCCUUUACGCCGCGGAUGCCUUUGGCUUGGCAGGAGCUAUCGCCACCUUGUACGGCUUUUGCUGCGUUGGAUGCCCGGUGUUCCUUCUUUGCGGCGGUCGGAACCUAGCACCUGGGGCAGGAGGACGAUACUGUUGUCGCCCCGCCACUGGUGCCCUAGACUGAGAUGACCCAGCUUCAAAAGCCCUCUUACAAGACUUGGAUGCACUGUAGUUGUUGUUAUUGUUUUCCUGGGUCAGACACUCACUGAUGUAAGCAUUGAAGGUAGCCUGGGCUCCUAUACCCAUAGUCUUCAACAUCUUCGGGCUCAAGCCUCUCUGGAAACUAGCGAUCUUCUUGGCUUCCGUGUUCACAUACUCGGGGGCGUAACGAGUGAGAUUGUUAAAAGCGUGUAGAUGCUCCUUUACAGACUUCGUUCCCUGGGACAGCCUCAUGAACUACCCAACCUUCAUUUCCACCACACCCGGAGGAAUGUAAUUUCCCCAAAAAGCGGUAAUGAAGCGGUUCUAGGUGAUUGGGGUCCCCUCUGGGUAGGUGGUACGGUGAUGGGACCACCAAAUCCCAGCAGGUCCCUGCAACUGAUGCGCUGCAUACUGAGCCUUAAGUUCUUCAGUCAUCCGAAGAAGACGGAACUUUUGCUCCAUGGUGUUGAUCCACCCAUCUGCCUCAAGCGGUUCUAGGGCCUCCUUGAAGACGAGUGGUUUGGUAUCUGUUGGGUAUUUUAAACACAAACAGAAAAAUCCGCAAGCGCACGGAUACCGAUGUAGCCUUCACCCGGGAGUAUUCCAGAGUAUCGAUUUUCCACAGGGAACGUGAGUGUACUAAUUAAGAUCCAAGAUCGCCCAAGGAUAACUAUAUAAUUAUUUUUGGUGGGAAGAGAGGAAGUUUCCUGAGAGUUCUCAAGUCGAUCUAAGAAUCAAGAAUUACUUCAAGAUUAUCUAUAUCGGGACAUCAGAGCAUGUUGAUAUUUGGGAACGCAAUAAGGAAUUGAUCCGCAAGCGCACGGAUAUCGGUGAGCACUUCACCCAGGAGGUUAUCCAGAGUAUCGUAUUUAUUUUUUUACCACUAGGAGAAAGAGUGCAUCUGACUAACCAGUCUAUUACUACUAACCCUUUAGGCAACAAAGAAUGUUCUCGAUGUGAGUGAUAAAUAGAGAAGACUACAACCGUAGUCUCCUUCUAACCUUGGCAAGGAUGAUCUACUGUUCUAUUGGGGAGGCUAACGGAAUCUAGACACCACAAAGGAUGUUCAACCCACACCUAUAAACCCUAUCCUUCCUGCUAACGAGAUAUGGUCUGCAAAGGUAACUCGGAAUUUUCACGUUCCUCACUACUACCACAGUCUAGCUAGUCAGGGAAUAUCUAUGAGUACCCCAGCCUAAACACCACGUUUACGCCAGCAAUGAUUACUCUAAACUCUAUGCAAAGAGAUUAAAGUAAACUCAUAAACCAAAAGAACAAUAAAACAAGAACUUACUAGAAUUUAGAAGUCGAAAUACUGAAGAAUCCUAGGAGCAAGCCUCGGGUUAGGAGAACUUGAUCCAGCAGGUACAAGCUUGGAGUAGACACCGACAUGCCAGCCUUCCACCGAUCUACACCUCCACUCUAUAUCUCUCAAUCUAGUAGAAACUAGAAGAUCUAUUUCUACUUACAUUGGUUGCUAAGCCUAAAAAGAAAUAUUAUUUAGAGAAGAGGUUUUCCUUCGAGGGCACCCCUCAAUCUCUAUGACAACUUCUUGUCUCCUCCAGGGGCCAGGGGGGUCUCCUUAUAUAGUCCUCCUCCUCUAUGCAUUUUUGGGUCAGUAGGCGAGGUGGUACUACAUUAUCCUUGAUCCAUUAGGUCGGUGGAACAUCGUGUGCGAAGAGAGUCCCGAACGUAGUACAGGAGGGGCCGAGUGCCCAGGUCCUCAGGGCGGGCGCCCUGGGCCUGGCCCCUUUCGGCCUCUGCUUUCUUCCCGUGGCUUCUGGAGUCUUCUAGAUGGUAGAAAAUCGCACGGCGUGUUGAUAUCUCUAUGUAAUCCCGACAUGUGGGCCUUUCUUCCUUAUUUCCUGAUAACCUCCUGCAGAAACAGAUAAACAACAAAACUCGUGGAAUUUUGUCAGAUCAAACCCUAAUUCUAGGUGUUGGUUGCAUAUUGGUCCUUUCCCUUGUUUAUUUGAUAAUUAAAUUUGAUACUUAAGAACAGUCAACAAAUACCCCCAUACUUAGGCUUUUACUCGUCCUCGAGAAAAGGAUGGUUAAGAAAAAUAUCUGGGGUAAACAUUUUAAAACAUUCUCUUUAUAAUUGCAGGGUAUUAAAGAUCCACUGUGUACUGUAGUCAGGGAAGUAUAUGGUUAAGAGUAAAGAUCCUUUCUUCUCAAUCCUGUCACUAGGAGUUUUUUGUAUAUUUUUGAAAGAAAGUUAGCAUACCUUUUUAUCCUCAUAGGUUCUCUCAAAUCACUCAUUAUCUUUUAUAUAUCUCACUGAGGUUGUUUUAAUUUGCAAAAAUUCUCAAGCAUACUUACUUUGCAUUUAUUGCCUGAUCAAAACGGGAUCCGAGGAGGGGAAUGUCAUACUCUUAGAUCAAAGACUUUGGAAAUUAAAAUCUUUGUCAACUCUUGCUGGCAUAUUGCAUAUUAGAGGGACCAUGGGCUAUCAUUUUCUCUUUUUUUAAGUGGAUACCGAGGUAUCCCUAAUUCUACUGCCGGACACUUGUCCUUUUUUUCUGUGAGGUUGUCGAGCACUUGCUCCUUUUUAUUUCCUCGAAAUAUCUUUAUUUUUGCAUAGCCCAUGCCUCUAAUGCAAUAAUACUUCGGAAGAGUGAAUCUUUCUGAAUAAAUGUCUUGAUCUUAGGAGCAUGAUAAAUGUAAUAACCCUAAAAUUUACCUGACACAAAAAUCCCAACUACAAAAUUUUUUCUGAAUUACCCCAUGAUUGAUGAGUGGCAUGUAGCAAGCCUCACCACAUUGCAUUCUUUUUUGUUAUAUUGUUCACCCUAGGUUUAUCAUGCAUGCAUAUUUAUUUUAUUGCAUUUUAUCCCAUGGCGGGUGAUUGGAAUUUAUUUGGAUUUUUGUAUUGUUGCUCACUUCUUAUCUAAGUGAUUAAUUAACAAUUAAAUAUUAAUACAAAUUACUUGCCAUCACAAGUGGCUAAGUUCUAAUCAUAAUUAACACCCAAUUGUCAAACUUAUCUAAAGACUAAUUAAGUACAAAGGAAUAUAGAUUAGGAAGGGCAAAUAGGAAUAAUAAUGAAAGAGUAAUAAUAAAUGAAUAAUUGACAACUAACAAAUAAAUAUUAAAUCUGAAAUGAUUCCAAACUACACACCUAAAACCUAAUUAGAUAAGGAGUAAAAGAAAUAGAAAAGAACAAAAAUAAAAUAGAAAAGAUAAGGAGAAGAGAAAAUAAAGGAGAAGGAAACCCCGGGCUGCAGCUCCAGCCCAACCGGCCGGCCUGUCUCUCCCCCUCCGUCUUCCUCAGCUCCCGCACGACCCGCUCAGCGCCGCGCUCUACUCAGCGCGCCUCGCGUGCUCCCGAGCUCCACCGCUCGCACCCACGCAUGCAGGACCGAGCUCCACCGCUCGCGCCUCCGCUGCUCCCCCCGCGACACAUGCAAGACCGAGCUCCACCGCUCGUGCCCACGCAUGCAAGACCGAGCUCCACCGCUCGCGCCCACGCAUGCAAGACCGAGCUCCACCGCUCGCGCCCGCGACACAUGCAGGACCGAGCUCCACCGCUCGCGCCCACGCAUGCAAGACCGAGCUCCACCGCUCGCGCCCACGCAUGCAGGACUGAGCUCCACCACUCGCGCCCACGCCAUGCGUGCACCGCUCGCGCCCGCGACACAUGCAAGACCGAGCUCCACCGCUCGCGCCCACGCCCUGCGAGGACCAAGCAUAUCCACGGGAGAGCAUCCUCGAGCUCCAUAAGGAGCCCCCACCGAAGCCACAUCGCCGACCGCUCUACCACGCGCACCACGCCACUUCGCCUCCGCGCUGACCGCCGCUGCCGCGCCGAACGCCGCACCGUCGCCGCGAUCCCCGUCGACGUGCCGCGCCACCUCGCCACAACACCGACGCCGCCGUUCCCUGCUACCGUCAUCCCCGCGCCCUGCUCCGGACCUGGACGCCGCGCCCUGCACCGCUGGUAAGCCGCCGCGUUUCACCCCCUGAUCCACACCGCCGCCGUCGCGCCGCGCACAGCCGCGCCAUGCUGCGCUCGCCGCACGCCACGCGCGCCCCCGCGCGCGCCGAACACUGCCGUCGUCGCGCCGCGCACAGCCGCGACCUCUGCUCCCAUGCGCGCCACAAACGCCGCCGUCGCUCCUGCCUCGCUCGCACGCACGCUGGGACGAGGGGAGAAGCCGCAUGGGCCUUGACCCCCCUUUCGGCCCACGAGGUCGCCCGCAGCACUGGCCCGAGAGGAGGGCAACCAAGCAGGCUUUGCCUAGUUUCGGCCCACGCACGUCACGAGAGAAAGAAAAUGGUUUUUCUUUUAAUAAAUUGGAAUAAACUUUGAGGAUGCAUAACUUUCUCGAUUUAACUCCGAUUUAGGCGAUUCAACUUGCGUCGGGUUCGUCUCGACAGGAUCUACACAAUAGAGCUAUAGUCCACCAGCUUUUCAUUAAUUAAUUUUAAGGUGUUAUUUAAUACAUUAGACAAAUGCCAGAUAUCAUAGAAAAUUCAUAUCUCGAUCAUACGAACUCCGAAUUUUACACAAACAUCGAAAUUUAUAUAAAAUAAAUUUCUACUUGAUGAUAAACUUCUUGUGUGCAUUUGGAUCUUUUCGCUGUUAUUCGUUCUUUGUGCUCAUAUAUAGGGGGUCGUUUCCGCGACCAAUAAUCCACGUGCAGAGUCAGAGGAGGAUCGGACUGACGAGGACCGUGAGUAUCGGGAGGAGUUUGGCGACGACUACUCCGAAGGUGCCACAUCCCACCCACUUUCGUAGAUCUCAUUACGCAUUGCAAAUAUUAGAAUUGCUAGUGCUUUAUAUUUCUGUUGAUAUAACUGCUGUUAUAGGGUUGCAUAGUAGAUUUACUAUUCUUGUACCCUACCUUGUUUUACCUAUCACCCUGCUCACCCGCUGAUAGAUUAGACACACGCUUUUAUUAUAUUUCUACUAUAUUUAUAUUCUUCGGCUUAUAUCGAUGAUGUGACGCCGAUGGUGAACCUAAGGGGAUGGUUUGGCUUGGGAAGUCGAGCCGAGUGAUCUUGUUGGAUCUGGGGCUUAUGGUGAGGAUGUGUGGUGGUCUUGGUGUGUGUCUUGGGUGUGUGAAGGGUGAGGGUUGAGUCGACCAGGCUGGGAUCUACGACGAGCCAGUGGGGCGAGUCAUGCCGUGGAAUGAACUGGACAUUCCUGUUGGAUAUACCUGUGGCGGGUAAUUAUGCGGUGGAGAUGUGUGUGAGGUGAACCCGGUAUAAGUCUCUGGCGGGAGGAGCUUCGGGUGGAGGUGCUGUGGUGGCACGUUAAAUGGAAACCCUAAUGAAGAUAUCCUAGCUUGGUCACACCUAAGGACUGACAGUGCUAGUAACCGGAUCAUAGGAAUCCUUGCUUUCCACUCGCUUCCCAUGGGGGGGAGACGGCCGAACCACCAGGUAGGGUGAUGCCACUACUACUAGGCGAGGAUGUGUUAGGGAGGUAUGGGCAGGUUGGUCUCACACCCUCCCGAGACGAUCAUGGCUCCCUAUUUGGGACAGGGGACAUGACUUCACAGUUUCAGCCACUCCAGGUGGGGUGCUCCAGGGUUGAGAGGUAGAGUGUUAUUGUCCUAGGCCGGCAGGCGCCCGGAAUCAGCCUAGUUGGUGACGGCCAGCGAUGAAGGAAGAUCUUGUGGAUUAGUAAAACCUCUGCAGAGUGUAUGGUUGAUCGAUCGAUACAUAUGCCGUCCUUUCGGCUAUGGACCCUUCCUGUGUUCUGUUUUCACUAGACUAGAGAGAGGAGUGUUCUACCUUCCCCGAGAGGUACUUCCGGCCGCGAGCCAUAGGUUGAGGGCUGUGGGCCACUGAGACACGCCGAGUGGGAGUUGGCAUGUCGACCUGAGUGUGGGUUAUGUUGGUGUUGGUGAUGGAGAUGGAUAUGGUAUGGUUUGGGAUGGUAUGGAAUGGAGGGUGAUGGAUGGUGUAUGGGUUUGGGUUGUGUUAAAACUUGACUAUUACUAUAUUUAAAACUUGAUUACUAUUGCAUAGGAAAACUAGAGCCCCAUUUAGGCCUCUUCAAUUUACCUUAUUUGCAUCCAAUUCCACAAAGCAAGCGCAUAGGGUGGGAGUGGCCAGUACAAAUCGUAUUGAUACUUUGGCAUACAGGUUCUUAUGAUUCCGAGGGAUAUAGCAACUAGGGGGUUCGUGCCUUCACUCAAGUCGAUGGAGUUUCUACCUUCCGCAUCUAUCGAGCUGUUCCGGUUGAUAAUUUAGAUUUUGUUUCUGCCAUGUGGCAAUGCAAUAAUGUAAUACUCUCUAUUCUUAAUGCUUUUGUACGAUGUAUGGAUGAUGAUUAUCAACUGGAAUUGGGUAAUUUGAUUUAAAUGGUCAUUUUACACUUCGACUAUGUGGAUUUUCCCCUUCGUGGAAAAUCAGGUCGUUUCAAUAAAUCACUCAACAAGGGUCUAACUCAUUUUGAACAAACUCAAUACAGAGUAGAUAGCUUUUAUAACCAUAAUUAAUAUUUUCAGUUUUAUCGGGCAUAUAAAACACUAAGGAUGGUAGCUAGAAUUUUGAAGAUUUUGAAAUAAAUUCUCCAAGCAACAAUUAUAUCAAGAAUAAGAAACUCAUACUCUAUCAUCUCACAUUCCAUAAUGACUUAAGUAACACAGGGUUUUAAAAAUGAUUUUAUAAUAGUUACAAGUUUCAGGAAAUAUCACAGAAUGAGAUUAAUCAUGAUUAGAAAUAUUUUAAUCUUUUUAAUGUAUCAUGUCGGAAACAGUAUUCUGGAUAAUCAAGAUAUGUGUAUGUGUAAUGUAAAGUGUUAAGUGUGUACCUGAAUCGUGGAGUGGUGUAGUCGGAGUGUGUUUGGCAUGUUGAGGGAUCUCCCCCAUACUUGUUUUCUGCUUUCUUGCACAAAAAUAAAGUAGAGACACACAAGACAUAAUAAUAAUAAUACUCUUUAUUAAUCUUGAGGCAUUUAUUACAAAAGACUAGUAGUAAACUGAUAGCAAACUGAUGAUAAUAGUAAACCUAAACCGAAUUUAAAGAGAGAUGACUAAGAUGCAUUGCCUCAAGGUCUAAUCUAGAUAAUUUAGCGGCGCUCUAAUUCCUUAAUCUUCUUGUUGGCACUGGCAAGAUCAUGCCUAAGGCCUAGUAUAAUGGUGUUGUGGUUAGAGAGCUGCCCAGUGAGGGAAUUAAUCGAGGACUGGAGGUCUAUGAUAACUCUGUCUAGUCUGCGAACGUCCUCAUCAAUAUCCAUUAUAGUCUUGCGACACUUGGGAGGUGUCUCAAAAGCAUUGAGAGCGUGCUUAGGGGCUGCCUUUGGAGGGAUGAAACAGACUUUGGCUGCUCUAAUCCCUUCGAAGUAAGGCCUUUCCUCUUCCGUAGUGUAGCGAAUACUGCUGAUCUCGCCGCUCUGGUUGGUCUUGACUCCAACGACCCUCUCAUUGGGUCUAGGUGGAAGGAUCCUUGUGCCGGUUGGCACCUUGAUGGUGGUCUUCGUCUUGGAUGAUGAUCCCUUGAGGAGUAGGGGUUGUGGUGGUGCGGUGAGAACUGGUUGAGCAUGGUAGGAUUGGGCGGAGUUGCGUUGGUGUAAUGGCAUGGCUUCUAGCUGUCGCUCUGUGUUGGCCGGGACGAGAGCACGGGCAUCGGGGUCUUCCACAGGCUCCAUGUUGAGGUUGAAGGGGACGACUUCCCAAUCAUCGUGGUACUUCUCGGCCAUUGGAGCAGCAAGCAACUAAUCAAGCUCUAAUUGAAGAAGAAGAAGGCUUGGUGGUUUGGUGUUUGAAAAAGGAGGUCAGGGGUCUGUUUAUAUAGGGGUCAAAAAGUGCCUCUAAGGGUUGUUCGGGUUGCUCCCGUCGAUGUGCGUGCAAAACUUUCCAUCUGAGGGAUUAUUCGGAUUACCAUAAGUGCAUUUUCCAUAACAAAGAAAAUCGGGACCGAGGGGGAACAGGUGCUGGGUGCCCGCCCACCUGAUCUGGGCGCCCGCCCUCUCUCUGGCCCCUCUGUGGGCCCACUUUCUCGAGCGCGUUUCUAGAUGCAAAAUUAUUUAGAAAAAUAUAUAUGACCCGAAAACUUAAGAUUAAAAGUGUCGGGCUCUAAUUCUCCAUGGGAAGGUAAAAAUGGACUACGUCUAUUUCUUCUAAUUCUUUAUUAGGCUCUAAAAAAAUUUAAGACGUUGACCAUUUACCUUGAAUAACGUACCUUUAAUGGUCCUUCCCAUUUGCUCCGGAGUUUUCCAUGCCCGAAAAGCUUCACCCUGGAAUUAAAAAGUAAUACCUUAUCUCCGGGUGUGAACUCCUUCUUCUUGAUUCUCUUGUCAUGCCACCUUUUGACUCUUUCUUUGUAGAUCUUUGAAUUGUGAUAUGCCUUCUCUCGCCAUUCUUCCAAUUCUGAUAGUUGCAUUCUUCUAUAAUCUCCAGCAACAUCUAGAUCCAUAUUCCAUCUCUUUAUGGCCCAGUGUGCUGUGAACUCUAGUUCAACAGGUAGAUGACAAGUCUUCCUGUACACCAAUUGGUAUGGAGACAUUCCAAUUGGGGUCUUGUAUGCUGUUCGGUAUGCCCAGAGUGCAUCGGGUAACUUGUCUUUCCAUGCCGUUGCCAUUUCAUUUACUGUCUUCUGAAGAAUAUUCUUGAUUUGCUUGUUGGAAGUCUCUGCUUGGCCACUUGUCUGAGGAUGAUAGGGGGUAGCGACGUUGUGACGGAUUCCAUGUUUUGAUAGAUAUUGCUUGAAGCGUUUGUCGAUGAAGUGUGCUCCUGCAUCACUUAUCACUACUCUGGGGACUCCAAAUCUUGGAAAUAUAAUUUCUUCAAACAUCCUCUUUGAACUGAUGUUGUCGGCAUGCUUGCAAGGUAAUGCCUCUACCCACUUGGAGACAUAGUCAACUGCCACCAAGAUGUACUCACAUUUCUUUGAUGGAGCAAAUGGACCCAUGUAGUCUAUUCCCCAGACAUCAAAGAGCUCAAUCUGAAGGUUGUUGGUGAGUGGCAUUGCGUCCCUUGUAUUUAUGUUUCCGUGCCUUUGACAUGGCCCACAUCUUAUGAUAUAUUGCUUCGUGUCUUCAUACAUUGUAGGCCAGUAGAAUCCACACUGCCAGAUCUUUGAAUGUGUACGGAAUGCUCCAUAGUGACCUCCAUAUGGUGAUGAAUGACAUCUGUCGAUGAUCUUCCAUCCUUCCUCAGUGGUGACACAUCUCCUGAGUAAGCCAACAGAGCAUACUCGGAAGAGGUAUGGCUCAUCCCAUAUAUGUGAACGACUUUCUUGAAUAAGCUUCUUCUUGUUUGCUCCUGGCGGUACAUACCCUGUAACCAUAAAAUUAACAAUAUCUGCAUACCAGGGGUCAGACCUGUUAAUCCCAUAGAGCAUGUCGUCCCGGAGUGGAUCAUUGAUGAGGGUUUCCUGUGGACUCUUAAAAUACAUUCUAGACAAGUGAUCAGCAACAGAAUUUUCUACUCCCUUUUAUAUUUUAUUUCUAAGUAAAAUUCUUGGAGUAAUAAGAUCCAUCUAAUCAGGCGAGGUUUAGCAUCUUUUUUUGUGAGCAAAUAUUUUAGUGCAGCAUGAUCAGUGUAAACAAUUAUUUUAGCUCCAACUAAAUAAGAUCUAAAUUUAUCAAUGGCAAAGACAACAACCAGAAGCUCUUUUUCAGUGGUUGCAUAAUUAAGUUGAGCUCCUGUCAAAGUUUUACUGGCAUAAGCAAUUGCAUGAUGCUUCUUAUUUUUAGUUUGUCCUAAUACUGCCCCCACAGCAUAAUCACUAGCAUCACACAUAAUUUCAAAAGGCAACAACCAAUCAGGGGGUUGAAUGAUUGGUGCGGAGAUGAGUGCUUUCUUUAAUAAAUUAAAAGAUGUUAGACAUGCAUCAUCAAAUUCGAAAGGAGCAUCCUUGGCUAGCAAAAGAGUAAGUGGUCUAGCAAUAAAUGAAAAAUCUUUUAUGAAUCUACGAUAAAAACCAGCAUGGCCAAGAAAGCUUCGAAUUCCUUUUAUGUUCACAGGUGGAGGUAGUUGUUCAAUUACUUCAAUUUUAGCUUUGUCUACCUCAAUACCUCUUUCAGACACUAGGUGUCCCAGCACUAUUCCUUCUCUAACCAUAAAAUGACAUUUUUCCCAAUUAAGGACUGAGUGCUUUUCUUCACAUCUUUGCAAAACCUUUUCUAAGUUUUCAAGACAACUAUCAAAAGUUUUUCCAUAAACAGAGAAAUCAUCCAUGAAAACUUCCAUAAUCUCUUCAAUCAUAUCAGAAAAUAUAGACAUCAUGCAUCUUUGAAAAGAAGCUGGUGCAUUACAUAACCCAAAAGACAUUCUACGAUAAGCAUAAGUUCCAUAUGGGCAUGUAAAAGUGGUUUUGCUUUGAUCAUCGGGAUGGAUCGGGAUUUGAUGAUACCCUGAAUAUCCAUCUAAGAAACAGAAGAACGAAUGGUUUGCUAAUCGCUCUAGCAUCUCAUCUAUGAAAGGUAAAGGAAAAUGAUCCUUUCUCAUGGGUUUGUAUAAUUUUCUAUAGACUAUGCACAUUCACCAUCCUGUGACGGUGCGUUGCGGAAUUAGCUCGUUCUUUUCAUUCAUAAUAACAGUCAUGCCUCCCUUUUUAGGCACAACUUGAACUGGGCUUACCCACUCACUGUGCGGCACAGGAUAUAUAAUCCCUGCAUGCAGCAACUUUAUAACUUCCUUUUUAACUACCUCUAUCAUAGUGUUAUUAAGUCUACGUUGGGGUUCUCGAGAAGGUGAAACAGAAGGAUCUGUUUGAAUACGAUGGGUACAAAUCAUAGGACUGAUUCCUGUAAGAUCUUGGAGUGAGUAGCUGAAAACUGAGUGUUGUUUCUCAAGAAUGGUCAUUAAUCGCAGAGUUUGCUCCUGAGUGAGUUUAUCGCUAAUGAUCACAGGAAAUUCUGGAUUAUUGUUUAGGAAAGCAUAGAUAAGACUGGGUGGUAAAGUUUUAAGCUCUAUGGGGGGUCUAGGUGCUUCUGCAAACUUAUCUAAGGGUUCAGGUUCAGAAGGUUUGGCUUCUUCUUCUGUGAAGAAAGGAGUUUCAUCUUCUAAGUCUGGUUCAUCUAAAAGCUCUAGAGAUGCAGCCUUUACCUCCUCUAUAGGAUCAGGCAAAAGAUAUGACUCGGCCUUAUUGUUUAAGGAGUGUGAAAUUGUUAUUGGGAUUUUAAAAGUUUUUCCAAAAGAAAUGUGCAGCUUUCCAGUAUGACCUUCAUAAAGGAGUCUUCUAAAAGGUUGUCCUAUCAACAGGUCAAAGUCCCAUGUAUCAAAGAUAUAGAAGUUCAAACGAACCAUGGAGCCUUCUACCGUAAGAGGUAGGACAUUAAUAAUUCCAAGACUGGGGACUAAUCGUCCCGAAGAUUCCUUUAUGACCUUUGUUGUGGGGGUUAAGACAAGAUUUUUAAAUAGUUUAAGUGCAAAAGAUUCAGACAUGAUGUUGAUCCCCACAACAGGAUUAUAAAGCGCAUUAAAUCGAUCAGAAUUAUAAGCACAGCGUAUAGUUAUAGAGGAUGUGUCCAAACGGAUCACAUCAGAGGAAAGCUCUGAUUCCUCCAACCAUUCGCUACUCAUGACUGAGAUAAGCUCUCUCAAUUGAUAUUCACUUGGCAAAUAAAUGCUAAACUGGCCGCUUUGAGGUUUGUCAAUAGAAUGGUAGUUUGAAAUGUUUCCAAAAUCGGCAAAAAGAUUGGAUUCUAUAUCCAGCAUGAAGUCCGGUGGUGGAAUUUCUUCCUCUUGUGGCUCAGAACUUGGGAUAGCUAAAGUAGAUGAAGAAUUUGGUAGAGUGUCUACUUUGGCUUUGUAGGUUUCAUCAUGAAGGGUAUUAUUCAUCUCAGCUUCUAGGAUUCUAUCUAGGAUCACUCUAGCUUCAUCAGUAGGGAUGCGAAAGAAAGAACCUCUAGACAUUAUGUGUAGCAUUUGUUUGUAAUUUAUCUGAAGACCUCGAAAAAAGUGAAAUAAAAGAAAAGGGUUUUCAAGAUUAAGGUUUGGACCAGAUUCUAAAAGAUCAGAAAAAUGUUUUCAGGAUUUUCCCAAAGUUUCAUUAUCUUUUUGUUUAAAAGAUAGGACUUCGAGUCUAAGGUCGGCUAUACGGUCGAGGGAAUAGAAAUCUAGACAAAAGUUGGCUCGUAAAACUCCCCAUUCACCUUGUUGUUGACUUACCUUCUGACUGUACCAUUGUCUAGCUUCUCCCCUUAAAGAAAAAGGAAAAAGCUUCCAACGUAAAGUUUUAUCAGAAAUGCCUUCAAUGCGAAGACAAUCACAUGUUUGCUCAAAAUCUCUAAUAUGAAGGUAAGGGUUUUCGUCUUCCUUUCCCGAAAAAGAUAGGUUUUGAAUCAUGGCAAUCAACCCAGAACUUAACUUAUACUGGGAUGUUUGGAUAGGUUGUGAUGAUUCCCAUGGUAAAAGGUCAGUUACCGAAGGGAUUGCAGAUUCAUAGAUCGAUUUAGAAUUAUGGUUUUCCAUAAGGUAAGAGUAAAGAAAAUAAAUACGGAAUAUAAAAGAUAAGAAAAGAUAAAAGUAUAGAUACAAGCUAGUAGUAAGACUCAAGGUUAUCUCAGCAAACCGUCUUUCUCCCCGGCAACGGUGCCAGAAAUGCUUGUUGAUAUUUGGGAACGCAAUAAGGAAUUGAUCCGCAAGUGCACGGAUAUCGGUGAGCACUUCACCCGGGAGGUUAUCCAGAGUAUCGUAUUUAUUUUUUUACCACUAGGAGAAAGAGUGCAUCUGACUAACCGGUCUAUUACUACUAACCCUUUAGGCAACAAAGAAUGUUCUCGAUGUGAGUGAUAAAUAGAGAAGACUACAACCGUAGUCUCCUUCUAACCUUGGCAAGGAUGAUCUACUGUUCUAUUGGGGAGGCUAAUAGAAUCUAGACACCACAAAGGAUGUUUAACCCGCACCUAUAAACCCUAUCCUUCCUGCUAACGAGAUAUGGUCUGCAAAGGUAACUCAGAAUUGUCACGUUCCUCACUACUACCACAGUCUAGCUAGUCAGGGAAUAUCUAUGAGUACCCCAGCCUAAACACCACGUUUACGCCAGCAAUGAUUACUAUAAACUCUACGUGAAGAGAUUAAAGUAAACUCAUAAACCAAAAGAAUAAUAAAACAAGAACUUACUAGAAUUUAGAAGUCGAAAUACUGAAGAAUCCUAGGAGUAAGCCUCGGGUUAGGAGAACUUGAUCCCGCAGGUACAAGCUUGGAGUAGACACCGACAGGCCGGCCUUCCUCCGAUCUACACCUCCACUCUAUAUCUCUCAAUCUAGUAGAAACUAGAAGAUCUAUUUCUACUUACAUUGGUUGCUAAGCCUAAAAAGAAAUAUUAUUUAGAGAAGAGGUUUUCCUUCGAGGGCACCCUUCAAUCUCUAUGAUAACUUCUUGUCUCCUCCAGGGGCCAGGGGGGUCUCCUUAUAUAGUCCUCCUCCUCUAUGCAUUUUUGGGUCGGUAGGCGAGGUGGUACAACAUUAUCCUUGAUCCAUUAGGUCGGUGGAACAUCGUGUGCGAAGAGAGUCCUGAACGGAGUACAGGAGGGGGCGGGCGCCCAGGUCCUCAGGGCGGGCGCCCUGGGCCAGGCCCCUUUCGGCCUCUGCUUUCUUCCCGUGGCUUCUGGAGUCUUCUAGAUGGUAGAAAAUUGCGCGGUGCAUUGAUAUCUCUAUGUAAUCCCGACAUGUGGGCCUUUCUUCCUUAUUUCCUGAUAACCACCUGCAGAAAUAGAUAAACAACAAAACUUGUGGAAUUCUAUCAGAUCAAACCCUAAUUCUAGGUGUUGGUUGCAUAUUGGUCCUUUCCCUUGUUUAUUUGAUAAUUAAAUUUGAUACUUAAGAACCGUCAACAGAGCACUAACCACAAAAAGAGAUGAGAAGGGGGCUAGGAAGGUCUGACUAUAGUCCUACAAACACCGAUCCGAACGAGGUGGAAUACGUCGACCCUUAGGGCUGUCACUACCCUAAGGCUACCACAACAAUCCGCAGGAUUGGGUGCAAUUCCAGGUAAUCGCAAGACUAAACACCACGUCUAAUCUAUUAAUAACUACUCUAGCGUUAUAAAGACUAGAGAACUUGAUGCAAGUGGGAAUCCAAUAAAUAACUUGAAUGUAAAUAAAAUUAAUUAAAGAACUCAGGAAUUAUGAAUUGAAGAACCUGGAGAACGAUGAAGAAUGAACCAGUUGCUGCAAAAGUACAAUGUUGAGGAAGAUCCGACUGAUCCGGCUCCUCCUUCUCCGCUCUCCUCUUCUCUCUCCCUAUUUUCUAGAUUACAACUAGAACUAACUAGAACUAGAACUAGAGGAACUAGAACUAGAACUAGAACUAGAUGAACUAAAACUAGAUCUAGAUGAACUAGAGGUAGAACUAGAAGAACUAGAGGGAUCCUCUCUACUUGGAUUAAGAAUUGAAACCCUAACUUUGAUUCUGUAGAAGAGGUAUGAUCUCCAGGGGCCAGGGGGUCUGGUUUUAUAUUCCCUUCAAGUGAAUCUGGGCCGUUGGAUCAAACUGACAUUAAUCGCACAGUUUUCCUUGGUCCCUUAGGUCGGUGGAACACGAUCCGCGAAGUUGAAGCUGAUUGGUUACUGUAGGUGGGCGGGCACCCAAGGGGGGAGGGCGGGCGCCCUGCUCCCGGGCCCGAUCGGCCUCCCGUUCGUUCCCGUGGCUUCUGGAGUCUUCUAGAUGGUAGAAAAUUGCACGGCAUGUUAAUAUCUCUAUGUAAACACGACGUGUGGGCCUUUCUUCCGUAUUUCCUGAUAACCCGCUGCAGAAAUAGACAAACACCAAAACUUGUGGAAUUCUGUCAGAUAAAACCCUAAGUCUAGGUGUUGGUUCCAUUUAGAUCCUUUUCCAUGAUUAGUUGAUGGUUAAAUGUGAGCAUUAAGGACCGUCAACAAGCUCCCCCAAGCUUAACCUUUGCUCGUCCCUGAGCAAAGAUGGGCUCAAGAGUUUCUGCAGUGGUUUCAUGCCUUAAAGAUACACAUGCGUUCAAAUAAGAUCUUAUCUCUGGGUUAGGGUAAACUGUUAAGAUUUAAACUUACUCAUUUUACCUUCCACCAUGGGGCUUGUAACUGUCACUUGUGUCUUGAGCAGUUAAAAGAUAGAACGGUCUAGUCAAGCACCAUGUCUGUUGUUCUUCGAUUAAUUAUAGCUCUGGAGUUUUUGCAGAUUUUCAAAUAAAACUCAGAGAUUCCUUUAUGACUCUCUCUAGUCUCUCUUUUGUGGUAUUUCUGGAUCCUUACCAAGGCAGUAAUGGUAUAUGCCUUCUCUCAAAGUAUGUGGUAUUUUUGGUAUGAGGCAUAGUGGCAUUGCCUUCUCUCUCACCCUACUCUAAUAAGGCUUUGAUAUCUGGAGCUCAUAGGUGGGAGACAGCUAAUACAUACUUACAUGACAUUUAUUGCAUAGUCAAACCAUGGAUCUAGAGAAACAAGUCAAUAAGUCAAAUCAAGAUGUGCAUGUGUGGCGAAUGAAUGAUGCAUGGUAAUGAUGGUGAUAACAAUGGUGAAAGUCUAAUUCUACUUUUGCUCUUUUGAGGGGAUACAUACCUUCCUUGCUCUUUUGAAACUUUUGAGGAGAAUGAGAUGCUCUGUAUUUUCUUUUUCUUUCCUCUCAGGUGGGUAUCUUGUACCCCUAAUUCUACUGACGGACACUUGUCCAUUUUUACCUCUCGUCUCACUUUUUUUUUCUUUUCUUUCGAGGUUCCGGGCACUUGCCCCUUUUUAUUUCCUCGUAUUCACUUUUUUUCAGAGCACUCAUCCUCCUAGACUAGUGUAGCAAGUGGUAGUAACCAAAAUAUCUUGAGCAUUUAUUUCACAGGGAAAAACAGGAAUAGGAGAAUGUUUUUGGCUAUUCCCUCCCGGAUUAGGAGUAGAAUAUUUUUGGGUGGUUCUAGAGAUGGAAAUGGAUGGAUAUAUGUGGAUGCAUACUUCCGGAGUAGAAGCAGCAUGUGUGAGUGAACGUGCAAGUGAAUCUUGAUUUAACCACAUGACAAGCUCCUAAGGGUCUACACAGCUUGACAACACUCAAUGCUCAUAAGUAGUAAAAAGUAAAUGUGUGGCUCAUAGUCUAGCAAGCAUGUAUAUAUGGCUGUGGUAGGAAUUUAAACUCUCAUCAUACAGGAACUCAUCAUGCAACAUUUUAAAGAUUUUCAAAUAUAAAAUUCUCCAGAAUUCUAGCAUCUCUAGGAACAGAUAAACAACAGCUCAACCUUCCCAUAUCAUAUCCGUUAACGACUUAGACUUUAAAUCAAGUACUUUUCCCACAAGUUCAGGUUUAGAGCAAAUCUUAAUUAAUAACAGUCAUGCCUAAACUUGAGAGAGAUUUCAAUUUUGAGAACUAGUCAUGGUAGAGCAACUAUUCAUCAUUUCCAUUUGAGAGCUUAUGUUGACACCAUUUUUGGGCACGUGUCCAGGAUGGCAGGACAGGGUGGCAGUACGAUGCGGGUUGCUGGUAAGGAUGGUUGCCGAUGAGGGAAAGGUUGAAUGUGACUAAGUCCUCAGACAGUAAUAUGGUGCCGAUGACCA
rnacentral:lncRNA from 1 species